rnacentral:rRNA from 1 species
UACGUAGGCAGCGAGCGUUGUUCGGAAUUACUGGGCGUAAAGAGUGUGUAGGCGGUGCUCUAAGUUCGGUGUGAAAUCUCCUGGCUUAACUGGGAGGGUGCGCCGAAAACUGGAAUGCUCGAGCGUGGGAGAGGAAAGCGGAAUUCCUGGUGUAGCGGUGAAAUGCGUAGAUAUCAGGAGGAACACCAGCGGUGUAGACGGCUUUCUGGACCAUUGCUGACGCUGAGACACGAAAGCGUGGGUAGCAAACAGG